CUAUUUUAGUGCGAUCUGUGCGUGCUUUCAAUUGAGAAGCUAACUGCGCUCCCGCUCUAUUGCCCAUGGCAAAAAAUCUGUUAAGGAUAAGACAAUUGGGACGUGGUCGGACAAUGAGAUUAGCCCCAUCUCUGCCUUUUGCACUUUAGCCAUCAUAUUAGAGGGCAAUAGGAACCUAUGUAUUCUGGUGUAUGUGUUAUGGGCCAUGGAGUGAAAUGUAUAGUCCAGUGAGGUUGGGUGUAGGAUUCUCCAGGCAUCUAGGAAGCCGUGUUGUAAUAUGGUAUCUCGUAUUUUGGCUGUGGAAGUUUUUAGUUUAGAAGUCGUGGCUGCGGAUACUGUGUUAAAGGAAGAGGAGUCCACGGAACUGUCGAUGAUGAAGUUAGUGUUACCCUUAAUGAUAAUGUCACCAAAUUUGUGUAGGUUGGCAGGGGCGAAAUGUUUUUCCAAGAAGUCAGUAUGAGUGUCGUGUGGGCUGUAUAUGUUUAGAAAAGUGUAAGGUUCAUUAUUCACAUAACAUUGAAUCAGUAAGCAUCUACCAGCUUUGUCCCCCAUCUUUUUAACCAGUGUGAAGGACACAGCCCCACUGAUUAGUAUAGACACACACCUUUUCUUUGUUUUAUAGCAAGAAUGGAAGUCAUGUGGGAAAG